GGUGGGGUUCCCGAGCGGCCAAGGGGAGCAGACUGCGCCAAAUCUGCCGUCAUCGACUUCGAAGGUUCGAAUCCUUCCCCACCACCA
rnacentral:tRNA from 1 species